CCUAAAUAUUCAGUCGAAUAUUAAAAUAUUCAGUAAUAAUGGAAAUCGGGCUGUUACAGUUGAGGAAGAAGAAAGGUGAAUUAUUAAUAGGUGUCGGCAAACAUGAUCAUUCUGGUUCGAUGCUUCACCUGAGGCAAGGUUAUUGGAAACAAAUGGGACACAUAUCUUGAUCUUCUCCACUCUGAAACCGAAGGCCCUCAUCAAUUUUAUCAUCGGUUCAACUGGGUUCAAGUUUGAUGAUGAAAGAGUUACAAAAUAUAAUACGAAGAGCGUGUAAAAGGAGCAGUAUGAUGGUGUGCAAGAGUUGCCACUCUUGAUAAACAAUGAGCUUAUAUCUUAUGAAAAUACUAGAAUUCGAGGAUCUGAAGUGGUAUGCAUUCUACACAUACAAGAUGAGCAGGUUACUUUAUCCCCAAGUUCAAGCGGAGUUAAUGAAAGCGAAUGUAGAUGGGGACCAAUCUAAUACAAUCACCAUUCAACAAGUCGGUAAAGUACAUAUUUGUUGACUCGCUUAAUUCUGCAUGCCUCAAUUACAGGCGGGGUCCAUUCAAUGCUUAUGGUUUUGCCACUUCAUGGUCAAGAGGUAGGAAUAUAAUGAUGUUCUCCUUUGUAAUUUAAAUCAGGUGUAAAUCAGUAGCAAAAGUUUCUUAGUGUUAUUAGGAAUGGUUAACAUUUUAUAUUAUAAGGUGGUCUUCGAUUUUAUUUAUUUUUAGAACAAUAGGAGAGUUAGAAAAUCUUUGAAGAUGAUGCAAAUGAGAAUAAUCAA